AUACGGAGGGUCCAAGCGUUAUCCGGAUUCAUUGGGUUUAAAGGGUCCGCAGGCGGGAAGAUAAGUCAGUGGUGAAAGCCUACAGCUCAACUGUAGAACUGCCAUUGAUACUGUUUUUCUUGAGUAUAGAUGAAGUGGGCGGAAUAUAUCAUGUAGCGGUGAAAUGCAUAGAUAUGAUAUAGAACACCGAUUGCGAAGGCAGCUCACUAAACUAUUACUGACGCUCAGGGACGAAAGCGUGGGGAGCGAACAGGAUUAGAAACCCUAGUAGUCC
rnacentral:rRNA from 1 species